rnacentral:rRNA from 1 species
GUGGGGAAUCUUGCGCAAUGGGCGAAAGCCUGACGCAGCGACGCCGCGUGAGUGAUGAAGGCCUUCGGGUUGUAAAGCUCUGUGGAGGGGGACGAAUAAGUGUCGUCGAAUAGACGGCAUGAUGACGGUACCCCUUUAGCAAGCACCGGCUAACUCUGUGCCAGCAGCCGCGGUAAGACAGAGGGUGCAAACGUUGUUCGGAAUUACUGGGCGUAAAGCGCGUGUAGGCUGCUCGGAAAGUCGGAUGUGAAAGCCCUGGGCUCAACCCAGGAAGUGCAUUCGAAACUCCCGAGCUUGAGUUUCGGAGAGGCAGGCGGAAUUCUCGGUGUAGAGGUGAAAUUCGUAGAUAUCGAGAGGAACACCGGUGGCGAAGGCGGCCUGCUGGACGAUGACUGACGCUGAGACGCGAAAGCGUGGGGAGCAAACAGGAUUAGAUACCCCAGUAGUCC